UGCUGCCUGCUGGGAGUCGACUGGGAGCCACUGGGUGUUUACUGGGGGCAAUGGGGGGCCUAACUGUUGCCUGCUAGGAGCUCCUGGAAGCUUGCCGCUGCCGACUGGGAGCAACUGGGAGCUUGCUGCUGCCGACUGGGAGUCGACUGGGAGCAACUGGGAGCUUGCCGCUGCCUCCUGGGAGUCGACUGGGAGCAACUGGGAGCUUGCCGCUGCCUACUGGGAGUCGACUGGGAGUAGCUGGGAGCUUGCUGCUGCCUCCUGGGAGCAAUGGGGGCCUCUGUUGAGAGCUACUGGGGGCGGCUAGGAGCUACUGGGAGCUUGCUGCUGCCUACUGGGAGCAAUGGGGGGCUAGCUGUUGCCCACUGGGAGCUUGCCGGUGCCUACUGGGAGCAACUGGGAGCGGUGGGGGGGCUAGCUGUAGCCCACCGGGAGCUCCUGGGAGCUUGCUGGUGGCUACUGGCAGCAACUGGGUGCCGACUGGGAGCUACUGGGGUCGCCCCCGCGCUGCUGGUGCCUACUGGCAGCAACUGGGUGCUGACUGGGAGCUACUGGGGUCGCCCCCCCGCUGCUGGUGCCUACUGGGAGCCCUGGGGUGGGGCCGGACCCCCCGCAGCCUGGGUGCUCCCCCCCCUCGAUCAGGUGCUGCCCUUGGGGUGAUUUUUCUGCCCCCCGGGGGUGGGUCCCUGGGUGCCCCCCACGCUGGGUGCGGGAGGGGGGGUUUGGUCCCGGGGUUUCUCUCUGCAGGUCCUGGGACCGGCCUCCCCCCCAGCGCCGGGGGUGGGGGGCAGGAGGGAGCCCCACAGGGUAAGGAAUGGCUGGGGGAGUGGUCUGGGGGGGCCCUGAAUUGGGCGCCCCACCCAGGACAGCACUGGGGGGGGGUGUGUGUGUCUUGGCUUUGUCCUGGGGUUGUGGAGGGGUCCUGGGUGUGCCUCCCCCCCCCAGUGCUGUCCCCGGGGGGUGUUUGUCUGUGUCCUGAGGUUGUGGGGGGGUCCUGGGUGACACCCCCCCGCCCAAUGCUGUGUCUUUAUUCCAGGCUGGAAGGUCGGUGGCGGGGGCUCUGCUGGAGGACGCAGCGAUGGAGCGGGGCCCUGGAGCAGCCGCCAGGAUGGAGCUGAGCCCUGGAGCGUGGAGAGAGGUGUUUGUGCCGGAGCCGCAGCAGCAGGGGCGGUGUGCCAGUGUCCAUGCAGGUGUGCGGGGUGCAGUCCUGGGCCCCCCCCCGAGGGUGGGGGGGGGGGUCCUGGGAAGGCGAUGGUGGCCAAACGGGGUGGGCUUGAGGGUGCUGUGGUGGAAUUGGAUGUGCAGUUUUCCGAUGUGGGAUGUUGGGGAUCCACUUGAUGGUGAAGGGGGGGACCUCCUUCUGUGCUGGGGAGGUGUUUCUUGUGGGGGGGGGAUUAAUUAUUGCAUGGGGAGUUAUAUUUUGCACUGAGGUCUGGUUGGGGAAGAGUGGCUUUUUAGGGACUGGCGGCUGAAGUGGCGCCACGGUUGCCUUUCCAGCCAGCUCUGGGUGGGGGGGUUUGAAGGUGUGUGUGUCUUGUAGCCCCCCCCCAGGAUUAUUUCUUCCCGGGAGCGGCCCUUUCUGUGGAAACGAGGAAGUUUGAGGAGUUUUUUGUGUGGGAUGGCUGCUCAGUAGUGUGUUGUUAAUAAAGUGAAUGCUUGAGUGUUACCCUCUGUGAGGUGUUUGUCUCUGACUGCUGGGGGUGGUGUCGUUGCCCCCCCAAGGGGGGGGCACUGACUUGCGGGUGCCUCAAGCCCCACAUCCCCCCUGGCAGCAGGGCUCCUGUU